GAUUCAUGCAUAAUAGGAUGUGUUAUUAUAUUAUAAAAAUUUAGGUUCAACUGAUUAAGCAAAGAUGACUGCAUCUUCUUAACCUGUCAGCAAAAUAUAAAGACCAAUUUAGUGGAGACUCUCGUGUUCAGAAAGAUGCAGUCAUCUUUUGCUGACAGGUUAAGAAGAUGCAGUCAUCUUUGCUUAAUCAGUUGAACCUAAAUUUUUAUAAUAUAAUAACACAUCCUAUUAUGCAUGAAUC